CAAUGAUCCCUGAGCCAGACUGGAUUAGGAUGCCUCUCGACUAGGGGUCCAGAGACAGAGGCCUCCAGUUCCCAGGCACCUCGGGAAGAGAGGCUGAAAUGAUGCAUCAGAUUUACAGCUGCAGUGACGAGAACAUAGAAGUUUUCACCACCGUGAUUCCUUCCAAGGUAUCCAGUCCAGCCAGAAGAAGAGCCAAAAGCUCUCAACACCUCUUGACCAAGAAUUGAUCUAGGCGACAAAUAAGGAGAAGUGUGAAUCAAAGACGUCAGUGGAUGGGAUCCUGAGGCUUGUGUGUUAGCCCGUGUCUUCUGCUUUUCCUAUCUUGUCCUGUCUAUGACCAGCAAG
rnacentral:sRNA from 1 species